AACUAUGUAACACAAAAAUUUUUAAUAAAUUUUUUGGAUUAGUUAAGUAUUUUUUUUUUUGAAAAAAAAUAUUUUUUUCAUUGAGUAAAUAAUACUAAACAUGCACUAAAGUGUUAAGACCAGAAGUUGUACAAAUAAAACCAUGAAAUCAUAUGUUGGUGGAUGGAUAUUUUUCAAAUUUGCUGUAGGCUUUUGUUUUCUUUUCUGCUGGGAAGUUGAAAUGAUGGCUACAACUUAAAUUAUGAAUGGAGUAAUCGGAGAAUAUUGAAACCCGUUUAAUUUGGAUCGUGCAUUGAGGGACGAAAGGAUAAAAAAUUUAAUUUUGAAAUUGCUGUUGGGUACGGUACAAUGACUUACCGUUGACAGCUUUUGCAACCGGAUUACAAUCGGUUAGUUCAAUAAUUUUAUAUCCCUAUUUAACCGCCACGUGCUGCUGUUACAUGGGUCAAUUAGUCAUGUCAUUACUGUUACUUACAGCUGCUGUAACGUAACCGGACCCUACGUCAUCUUAUAUUUUCUGCAAAAUUUAUUAGGAAUUAAAAGUUACAAACUUUUACAUAUAAGUUCAUUUUUAGAAUAAAAUGACAUUUGAAAAUA
rnacentral:lncRNA from 1 species